rnacentral:rRNA from 1 species
GACGAACGCUGGCGGCGUGCUUAACACAUGCAAGUCGAACGGAAAGGCGCUGCUUUUGUGGGGUGCUCGGGUGGCGAAGGGAUGAGUAAAACGUGAGUAACCUAACCUUGCCUCUGGGAUAACUUCAGGGCACUGGGGCGAAGAUCAGAUAGGAGCUUCUGCGGCUUGGUGGGGGUUGGUAUGUUUCGGAGGUUGGGGCUGGGCUGGGGGCUGAUGAGCCUGUUGGUGGGGUAGUUGGUUACCAAGGCUUUGACGGGUAGCCGGCCUGAGUGGGUGACAGGCAACAUUGGGACUGAUAUACGGCCCAGCCGCGUGCGGGAGGGAGCAGUGGGGGAAAGUGCGCUGUGGGCGGAAGCCGUAUGCAGCAACGCCGCGUGCGUGAUGACGGCCUUCGGGUUGUAAACCGCGUUCGCCUGGUACGUAGCGGGAGUGACGGUAGUUGGUUAAGAAGCACCGGCUAACUACGUG